AUUGAACGCUGGCGGCAUGCUUUACACAUGCAAGUCGAACGGCAGCGCGGGGGAACCUGGCGGCGAGUGGCGAACGGGUGAGUAAUACAUCGGAACGUACCCAGAAGUGGGGGAUAACGUAGCGAAAGUUACGCUAAUACCGCAUACGUUCUACGGAAGAAAGUGGGGGACCUUCGGGCCUCAUGCUUUUGGAGCGGCCGAUGUCUGAUUAGCUAGUUGGUGAGGUAAAGGCUCACCAAGGCGACGAUCAGUAGCUGGUCUGAGAGGACGACCAGCCACACUGGGACUGAGACACGGCCCAGACUCCUACGGGAGGCAGCAGUGGGGAAUUUUGGACAAUGGGCGCAAGCCUGAUCCAGCAAUGCCGCGUGAGUGAAGAAGGCCUUCGGGUUGUAAAGCUCUUUUGUCAGGGAAGAAACGGCCGGGGCUAAUACCUUUGGCUAAUGACGGUACCUGAAGAAUAAGCACCGGCUAACUACGUGCCAGCAGCCGCCGUAAAAC
rnacentral:rRNA from 1 species